UACGGAAGGUGCAAGCGUUGUUCGGAAUUAUUGGGCGUAAAGAGUACGUAGGCGGAUUCGUAUGUCGAUUGUGAAAUCCCAGGGCUCAACCUUGGAAUUGCAGCCGAAACUGCGGAUCUUGAAUACCUGAGAGGGUGGGAGAAUUCCUGGUGGAGAAGUGAAAAUUCGUAGAGAUCAGGAGGAAUACCGGAGGCGAAGGCGCCUGCCUGGCAGUGUAUUGACGCUGAGGUACGAAAAGCGUGGGGGAGCGAACAGG
rnacentral:rRNA from 1 species